UACGUAGGGUGCGAGCGUUGUCCGGAAUUAUUGGGCGUAAAGGGCUCGUAGGCGGUCUGUCACGUCGGGAGUGAAAACUCAGGGCUUAACCCUGAGCCUGCUUCCGAUACGGGCAGACUAGAGGUAUGCAGGGGAGAACGGAAUUCCUGGUGUAGCGGUGAAAUGCGCAGGAUAAUCAGGAGGAACACCGGUGGCGAAGGCGGUUCUCUGGGCAUUACCUGACGCUGAGGAGCGAAAGUGUGGGGAGCGAACAGG
rnacentral:rRNA from 1 species